UACGAAGGGGGCUAGCGUUGUUCGGAAUUACUGGGCGUAAAGCGCACGUAGGCGGAUUUGUAAGUCAGGGGUGAAUUCCCGGGGCUCAACCUCGGAACUGCCUUUGAUACUGCAAGUCUCGAGUCCGAUAGAGGUGAGUGGAAUUCCUAGUGUAGAGGUGAAAUUCGUAGAUAUUAGGAAGAACACCAGUGGCGAAGGCGGCUCACUGGAUCGGUACUGACGCUGAGGUGCGAAAGCGUGGGGAGCAAACAGGG
rnacentral:rRNA from 1 species